UACGUAGGCAGCAAGCGUUGUUCGGAAUUACUGGGCGUAAAGAGUGUGUAGGCGGUGCUCUAAGUCUGUUGUGAAAUCUCCCGGCUUAACCGGGAGGGUGCGCGGAAAACUGGCGGGCUAGAGUACGGGAUGGGAGAGUAGAAUUCCUGGUGUAGCGGUGAAAUGCGUAGAUAUCAGGAGGAAUACCGGUGGUGUAGACGGCUCUCUGGACCGUAACUGACACUGAGACACGAAAGCGUGGGUAGCAAACAGG
rnacentral:rRNA from 1 species